UGGCACAAUCUGUUAAGUGUCCUACUCCUGGUUUUAGCUCAGGUCAUGAUCUCUGGGUCCUAAGAUCGAGCCCCAUGAGAGGGGCCCCAUGCUGGGC